UACAGAGGUCUCAACCGUUGUUCAGAUUCAUUGGGCGUAAAGGGUGCGUAGGCGGUCGCGCAAGUCGGAUGUGAAAUCUUAGGGCUCAACCCUGAAACUGCAUUCGAUACUGCGUGGCUCGAGUACUGGAGAGGAGACUGGAAUUUACGGUGUAGCAGUGAAAUGCGUAGAUAUCGUAAGGAAGACCAGUGGCGAAGGCGAGUCUCUGGACAGUUACUGACGCUGAGGCACGAAGGCCAGGGGAGCAAACGGG
rnacentral:rRNA from 1 species